CGCUCCAUACCUUAAAUUGGUUUUCACUGGGAGCAUCAAAAUUCAUAUUGAUGAGUGAAAGCUAGAAAUACAACGCAAGUUUGAGGAGAAGUGUUUUCUGCCAAGUGACUGCAAGGAGCCAGCAGCUUAAAACAAUAUCCUAAGAAGACAUGAGUGGCCGUUCCUGGGACAGGCAGCCAUCUCUUGCUAUGGAGAACUGACUGGUGGGACUUGAACAGACCAAAGGGAAGAACAUCCUCAGUCCUAAUGAACGUGCUGAGCCUAUUAUGUGUUCAGGCAGUCUCCCUGGAAUACCAGUAAAAGAAAAUUAAAUCAACUCACGACAGCUAU